rnacentral:rRNA from 1 species
UACGUAGGGUGCAAGCGUUAAUCGGAAUUACUGGGUGUAAAGGGCGUGUAGGCGGGGAUGUAAGUCAGAUGUGAAAUGCCAUGGCUUAACUGUGGAGCUGCAUCUGAAACUAUGUUUCUUGAGUGCUGGAGAGGAAAGCGGAAUUCCUAGUGUAGCGGUGAAAUGCGUAGAUAUUAGGAGGAACACCAGUGGCGAAGGCGGCUUUCUGGACAGUAACUGACGCUGAGGCGCGAAAGCGUGGGGAGCGAACAGG